rnacentral:rRNA from 1 species
UGGGGAAUAUUGGACAAUGGGCGAAAGCCUGAUCCAGCCAUGCCGCGUGAGUGAAGAAGGCCUUCGGGUUGUAAAGCUCUUUCGGCGGGGACGAUGAUGACGGUACCCGCAUAAGAAGCCCCGGCAAACUUCGUGCCAGCAGCCGCGGUAAUACGAAGGGGGCUAGCGUUGUUCGGAAUUACUGGGCGUAAAGCGAACGUAGGCGGUGUUCCAUGUCAGAGGUGAAAGCCUGGGGCUCAACUCCAGAAUUGCCUUUGAAACGGGGACGCUUGAGUCCGAGAGAGGAUGGCGGAAUUCCUAGUGUAGAGGUGAAAUUCGUAGAUAUUAGGAAGAACACCAGUGGCGAAGGCGGCCAUCUGGCUCGGUACUGACGCUCAGGUUCGAAAGCGUGGGGAGCAAACAGG